GCUAAGACACUUUGCUAACCACCAGUGAGAAACAAAGGACUCAGGCACAGGCUGGAGUUCUUCCAUGACUCAUUGCAGGGUGAGUCGCCACAGCAGGUGUGGUUCAAGGGAGCAGAAUGAGUCAGAUGUGGGAAAACAAGAUCAGUACAAGGGAGUAAUGUCUAACACCAGUUGUGAAAGGUUUUAAGGCAGAAAGGCUUAUCUGUUGAUGGCAUGUGAAGAGCUUCAAAUCCGUGUCGGCAGUCACCCUGGGCAAUUACAGUAUUUGAGAAACAGAAUUUGGAAACCAACUAACACCUGGAGGUUGAUGCUUUGUUUACAGCCAUGGCAG